GAUGAAGAACGCAGCAAAAUGCGAUAAGUAAUGUGAAUUGCAGAAUUCAGUGAAUCAUCGAAUCUUUGAACGCACAUUGCGCCCGCUGGUAUUCCGGCGGGCAUGCCUGUUCGAGCGUCAUUUCAACCCUCAAGCCCCCGGGUUUGGUGUUGGGGAUCGGCUCUGCCUUCUGGCGGUGCCGCCCCCGAAAUACAUUGGCGGUCUCGCUGCAGCCUCCAUUGCGUAGUAGCUAACACCUCGCAACUGGAACGCGGCGCGGCCAUGCCGUAAAACCCCAACUUCUGAAUGUUGACCUCGGAUCAGGUAGGAAUACCCGCUGAACUUAAGCAUAUCAAUAGCGGAGGA
rnacentral:misc_RNA from 1 species